AGGGCACCACCAGGAGUGGAGCCUGCGGCUUAAUUUGACUCAACACGGGAAACCUCACCCGGCCCGGACACGGACAGGAUUGACAGAUCGAUAGCUCUUUCUCGAUUCCGUGGGUGGUGGUGCAUGGCCGUUCUUAGUUGGUGGAGCGAUUUGUCUGGUUAAUUCCGAUAACGAACGAGACUCUGGCAUGCUAACUAGUUACGCGACCCCCCGAGCGGUCGGCGUCCCCCAACUUCUUAGAGGGACAAGUGGCGUUCAGCCACCCGAGAUUGAGCAAUAACAGGUCUGUGAUGCCCUUAGAUGUCCGGGGCUGCACGCGCGCUACACUGACUGGCUCAGCGUGUGCCUACCCUACGCCGGCAGGCGCGGGUAACCCGUUGAACCCCAUUCGUGAUGGGGAUCGGGGAUUGCAAUUAUUCCCCAUGAACGAGGAAUUCCCAGUAAGUGCGGGUCAUAAGCUUGCGUUGAUUAAGUCCAUGCCCUUUGUACACACCGCCCGUCGCUACUACCGAUUGGAUG
rnacentral:rRNA from 1 species